rnacentral:rRNA from 1 species
AGCAGCAGCCGCGGUAAUACGUAGGUCCCGAGCGUUGUCCGGAUUUAUUGGGCGUAAAGCGAGCGCAGGCGGUUAGAUAAGUCUGAAGUUAAAGGCUGUGGCUUAACCAUAGUACGCUUUGGAAACUGUUUAACUUGAGUGCAAGAGGGGAGAGUGGAAUUCCGUGUGUAGCGGUGAAAUGCGUAGAUAUAUGGAGGAACACCGGUGGCGAAAGCGGCUCUCUGGCUUGUAACUGACGCUGAGGCUCGAAAGCGUGGGGAGCAAACAGGAUUAGAUACCCGAGUAGUCCCUGUCUCUUAUACC